ensembl:snoRNA
CCCUCUUACAAAGGUGUGUCUAUGGUUCCCUGUUUUGGACAUGUAAGAAUUAGAGGCAAAAUUUAAAAAUAUGUGAAUUUGGGGAGUUCUCAAGCCUGCUUGCUCCCUGUAGGCUCAAGACUAACCCUACCAUAUUG